rnacentral:rRNA from 1 species
AACGAACGCUGGCGGCAGGCUUAACACAUGCAAGUCGAACGGGCGUAGCAAUACGUCAGUGGCAGACGGGUGAGUAACACGUGGGAAUAUCCCUUUCAGUUCGGAAUAACUCAGGGAAACUUGAGCUAAUACCGGAUACGUCCUUCGGGAGAAAGAUUUAUCGCUGAGAGAUUAGCCCGCGUCUGAUUAGCUAGUUGGUGAGGUAAUGGCUCACCAAGGCGACGAUCAGUAGCUGGUCUGAGAGGAUGAUCAGCCACACUGGGACUGAGACACGGCCCAGACUCCUACGGGAGGCAGCAGUGGGGAAUAUUGGACAAUGGGGGAAACCCUGAUCCAGCCAUGCCGCGUGAGUGAUGAAGGCCUUAGGGUUGUAAAGCUCUUUUGCCAGGGAAGAUAAUGACUGUACCUGGAGAAUAAGCCCCGGCUAACUUCGUGCCAGCAGCCGCCGCGG